CCGGAGAACGCUUGCGUGGCGGUCCACCCACCCAGUGUUGCCGCAGGGGAGACCGCGGCCGGAGUGGCGAAUGGCGAAUGAUGCGGCGACCGGCGCGGAGACCGGCGUGGAGACCGCCGAGGGGACCGCCGUGGAGAGCGACGUGGGGACCGGCGGGGCGAUCUUCGCGGCGACCGCCGGCGCAAGG
rnacentral:lncRNA from 1 species